CCUACGGGCGGCAGCAGUGAGGAAUAUUGGUCAAUGGACGAGAGUCUGAACCAGCCAAGUAGCGUGAAGGAUGACUGCCCUAUGGGUUGUAAACUUCUUUUAUAAAGGAAUAAAACGAGGCACGUGUGCCUUUUUGCAUGUACUUUAUGAAUAAGGAUCGGCUAACUCCGUGCCAGCAGCCGCGGUAAUACGGAGGAUCCGAGCGUUAUCCGGAUUUAUUGGGUUUAAAGGGAGCGUAGAUGGGUUGUUAAGUCAGUUGUGAAAGUUUGCGGCUCAACCGUAAAAUUGCAAUUGAUACUGGCAGUCGUGAGUACAGUUGAGGUAGGCGGAAUUCGUGGUGUAGCGGUGAAAUGCUUAGAUAUCACGAAGAACCCCGAUUGCGAAGGCAGCUUACUAAACUGUGACUGACAUUGAUGCUCGAAAGUGUGGGUAUCAAACAGGAUUAGAGACCCGAGAAGUC
rnacentral:rRNA from 1 species